UCAUUUUUUCUUAUGACGUCAAUAGCUAUACCCGUAAGUUGUUGAAAUCGGAGGUCUGCGACGAUGUCACGUAAAAGUAUAUAUAGCAAGGCAAAGGAACCGGCAGGCAUUGCUUGUACAGAACGCGCGUACGAGAGAAAUUGUCUGCGGAAUCUAUUUGAUUGCGCAUCCAUUGAUGACCUCUCACAUUCGAGCCCAAACGAGCAUGCCAGAAUACAGUCGAGGAGGCACUUUGUCAACGGAGAAAAAAGCACUUACCUGCCAAUUUGCCAAAACCUAUACAAUUGUGAGGUGCAAGACAUGCUCCAAGUAAUGAAGCUACAAAUGACAGUUGAAAAACGUCCACGGCCGUAUUUGUUCACUUAAGUGGCAUAAAAUAAUGAUUUGUCAACUUUGA